GCCGUUGACAGAAUGCAGGCGGGAAGCUUCAGUUUGGGUAGAGAUGUAGCAUCAAACAUUCACGGAUGUCCAGGGAGCACGGGCACACAGGCUGCUGCUGGCCAGAGCAGACUAUUAUGAGCACAAUACACUAGUCAUGUUGGAGAUAACAGCCUGACCUCAGCGUGGCUGCAAAAUGAAGCCACGUUUGGCUUUCCUAAGCCAUCAGGAGGCUGCUCACAGCGCUGCUGGACUCUUUAAGCCCUG
rnacentral:lncRNA from 1 species